GGCAGAUGUCAGACACAGAUGGAUUCCUUAAGAGGACACAGAACUUUAAUGGGAUUGGAAAUGGUACUGACCAGCUGUAAGUAUUUAGAGAAGGCGGGAGAUGACAGUCCAAAGUAGGCCCGAGGAGGGGUGGCAUUGCAAGUGUUUUCUUUUAGGCUCCGACUUGACCGAGAACACAUUCGGGCCUGCUGCAUCAAUAAAUGGAUAAGAAAGAUGAAAAAGAUGUGAAAGAAAAGGAUAAGGCUUUGGAAAUGAAAGAAGCUCUUUAAACACGUCAUCAAACGCUGCGGCCACAGCGGGGGGCCUCUGCAUACACCCGUGUGAGGGAUGCUUGGAGUGGGUGUGUGAAUAUAGUUUUGUAUCGGCCUAAUAAACCAUCCGUCUGCAGGGAGGGGUGAGCAGUGGAUGUGAAUGUUAAAAGGGGGGGUUACAGAACUCUUUUUUUUUUUCCUCUCUCCAUAUUUAUACCCCUUUGAAAUUCACAGACAGACGGACGCAAAGUCCAGCCUAGAGGUUUUUUUGAUGGUCGUCGAUACCGCUGCGUGAUGAUGUCAUACGGCAGACAGCAUGGGAGGGAGGCCUGAUCAAAGGAGAGAGGGAGGGAUGAAGACUGAGGAGAGGAUAACCAAGACAACAACGGGACAAAGAUGGCGACAGCUUCAGCAAUGGGACGUCCACUGGCGUCCAGACCCUCAGAUCACCAAAAGGCGCCAAGGCCAUGCAGCAACUGCAACCUCAUCCUUUAUCCCAACAGGAAGAGCACCGGCGACACGGAUGGGAACGACUGCGCCAACCUCAGCCAUCUCCACCUCCGAGCUAGCAUGCUUCAGGUUGUCAUGGAGGAGCAGUUCAGCCAGAAAUGGACAGAGAUCAAAACAGAUGUCUGGACCUUACCUGAACCACCGGAUCCGGACCUUCAGCUCAUUCAACAGCCAGCCUGACAAAAUGAAAACUCGUUGGAGGAGAGUGACAAGGAAGGCGGUCGGACAGGAGCAGCAGCGGCGGCAGUGGCGGCGUGUUUCCUCAGCCUGUCUGUCUGUCGGGGAUGCUGGCUCUUGAAGUCUGACAGGUGAGUCCCUUUAUCGCAGCUAAAACGCUAGUUUCUCAAGAUUUGUUUCGCAUUUUGUGAAGCAAAAUA
rnacentral:lncRNA from 1 species